rnacentral:rRNA from 1 species
CCCGCUGAACUUAAGCAUAUCAUUCAGCGGAGGAAAAGAAACCAACAGGGAUUGCCUCAGUAACGGCGAGUGAAGCGGCAAGAGCUCAGAUUUGAAAUCGGCCACCCGGCUGAGUUGUAAUCUGUAGAGGAAGGUUCGGCUGACGUGCGGGCUAAAGUUUCCUGGAAGGGAGCGCCUGAGAGGGUGAGAGCCCCGUCUAGUCCGCGUCUGACGCCAUGUGUACCUCCUUCGAAGAGUCGAGUUGUUUGGGAAUGCAGCUCAAAAUGGGUGGUAAAUUCCAUCUAAAGCUAAAUAUAAGCCAAAGACCGAUAGCGCACAAGUAGAGUGAUCGAAAGAUGAAAAGCACUUUGGAAAGAGAGUGAAACAGUACGUGAAAUUGUUGAAAGGGAAGCGCUUGUAGUCAGACUUGCACGCGGUUGCUCAGCCGUCCUUCGGGCGGUGCAUUCUUCCGUGUUCAGGCCAGCAUCGGUUUGGGCGGCUGGAUAAAGUCUUGAGAAGUGUGGCCUCUCGGGGUGUUAUAGUCUCUUGAACAAUACAGUCUGCCUGGACCGAGGACAGCGUUCGCUAGGAUGCUGGCGUAAUGGCUAUCAGCGACCCGUCUUGAAACACGG